rnacentral:rRNA from 1 species
CCUACGGGAGGCUGCAGUGAGGAAUAUUGGUCAAUGGGCGCGAGCCUGAACCAGCCAAGUCGCGUGAGGGAGGACGGCCCUACGGGUUGUAAACCUCUUUUGCCGGGGAGCAACGGGCGCCACGUGUGGCGUCACUGAGAGUACCCGGAGAAAAAGCAUCGGCUAACUCCGUGCCAGCAGCCGCGGUAAUACGGGGGAUGCGAGCGUUAUCCGGAUUUAUUGGGUUUAAAGGGUACGUAGGCGGAUCGUUAAGUCAGUGGUCAAAUUGAGGGGCUCAACCCCUUGCCGCCAUUGAAACUGGCGUUCUUGAGUGGAAGAGAGGUAUGCGGAAUGCGUGGUGUAGCGGUGAAAUGCAUAGAUAUCACGCAGAACCCGGAUGGCGAAGGCAGCAUGCCGGCUUCCGACUGACGCUGAAGCACGAAAGCGUGGGGAUCGAACAGGAUUAGAUACCCUUGUAGUC